rnacentral:rRNA from 1 species
AGCAGCCGCGGUAAUUCCAGCUCCAAUAGCGUAUAUUAAAGUUGUUGCAGUUAAAAAGCUCGUAGUUGAACUUCGGGGUCUACCCAUUGGUCAGGCUUAAUUGUCUACACUGGUGAGAUGGAUCUCUACCUUCUGAGGAACUUUCAUGCCAUUUAUUUGGUGUGAUGGGAAAUCAGGACCGUUACUUUGAAAAAUUAGAGUGUUUAAAGCAGACUAUCGUCUGAAUACAUUAGCAUGGAAUAAUGAAAUAGGACGGGCUGAUUCUAUUUCGUUGGUUCUAGGAUCACCGUAAUGAUUAAUAGGGAUAGUUGGGGGCAUUAGUAUUCAAUUGUCAGAGGUGAAAUUCUUGGAUUUAUUGAAGACUAACUACGUGCGAAAGCAUUGCCAAGGAUGUUUCAUUAAUCAAGAACGAAAGUUAGGGGAUCGAAGACGAUCAGAUACCGUCGUAGUCUUAACCAUAAACUAUCGCCGACUAGGGAUCGGAACGUAAGUUAAUUUUAAUAAUGACGCG